GCCUGGAGGGCUCAGUUGGGAGAGCACGUGAUUCUUGAUCUUGUGGUUGUGAGUUCAAGCCCCACAUUGGGUG
rnacentral:tRNA from 1 species